GCUGAAAACGAUAGUCCUCUUCGUCGCCAUUGGUCUGGCCGCCGCCGCGCCAUCGCAGCGCGAAAAGAGGUCUCCAGGUGGGAGUGGAUGGCAGAGCGGAGGUGGCUACGGUAGCAGCGGUUUCAGCGGCGGCUUCGGCGGCGGUAGCUUCGGCGGGGAUUUCGGUGGUCUGCCGUCGGUCGGCGUCGCUCGCUCUGCUUUCGGUGGUGGGAGCGGCGGCUGGGGUGGAUCUGGUGGACUCGGCAGAUCCAGCGGCGGCUUUAGCUCUGGUGGCUGGGGCGGGUCUGGUGGUAGCGCGAGGAGUGG